rnacentral:tRNA from 1 species
CAGAGUGUAGCGCAGCUGGUCGCGCGCCUGCCUUGGGAGCAGGAGGACGCGGGUUCGAAUCCCGCCACUCUGA